rnacentral:rRNA from 1 species
ACGAACGCUGGCGGCGUGCUUAACACAUUCACGUCGAACGGAAAGGCCCUGCUUUUGUGGGGUGCUCGGGUGGCGAACGGGGGAGUAACACGUGAGUAACCUGCCCUUGACUUUGGGAUAACUUCAGGAAACUGGGGCUAAUACCGGAUAGGAGCUCCUGCUGCAUGGUGGGGGUUGGAAAGUUUCGGCGGUUGGGGAUGGACUCGCGGCUUAUCAGCUUGUUGGUGGGGUAGUGGCUUACCAAGGCCUUGACGGGUAGCCGGCCUGAGAGGGUGACCGGCCACAUUGGGACUGAGAUACGGCCCAGACUCCUACGGGAGGCAGCAGUGGGGAAUAUUGCACAAUGGGCGGAAGCCUGAUGCAGCAACGCCGCGUGCGGGAUGACGGCCUUCGGGUUGUAAACCGCUUUCGCCUGUGACGAAGCGUGAGUGACGGUAAUGGGUAAAGAAGCACCGGCUAACUACGUG